GAUGAACGCUGGCGGCGUGCCUAAUACAUGCAAGUCGAGCGAACGGACGAGAUGCUUGCUUCUCUGAUGUUAGCGGCGGACGGGUGAGUAACACGUGGAUAACCUACCUAUAAGACUGGGAUAACUUCGGGAAACCGUAGCUAAUACCGGAUAAUAUUUUGAACCGCAUGGUUCAAAAGUGAAAGACGGUCUUGCUGUCACUUAUAGAUGGAUCCGCGCUGCAUUAGCUAGUUGGUAAGGUAACGGCUUACCAAGGCAACGAUGCAUAGCCGACCUGAGAGGGGGGUCGGCCACACGGGAACUGAGACACGGUCCAGACUCCUACGGGAGGCAGCAGUAGGGAAUCUUACGCAAUGGGCGAAAGCCUGACGGAGCAACGCCGCGUGAGUGAUGAAGGUCUUCGGAUCGUAAAACUCUGUUAUUAGGGAAGAACAUAUGUGUAAGUAACUGUGCACAUCUUGACGGUACCUAAUCAGAAAGCCACGGCUAACUACGUG
rnacentral:rRNA from 1 species